AAAUAUUGAGUCAUUUGUGUGUAGCUUAUUUUUAAUCCCUAGCAUGCAUAUAUUUGUUACUUUGAUAUUUUUAUACAAAUAAUGAAAGUAGACUUGGAUAGGAACCAAAUGACAUGAAAAUCACCAAAAUUAGGGUUGAAAUGAAGAGUAAGAGACAAAUUAAACAUGAGGGGCAUCCACAUGCAGGGAACCACCUUCAAAUCACUGGUUUGAAACUUGGACGACCUGAAUUAUUUUUUCAACAUUAUCUUCAAUGGUAUUUUCGCAAAUAAUGAUUUGCAUGUGUGUCCUCCACGUAGGUCGGUUCUGAAUAUCACCAGGCCCAAAAAUUAAAGUCCGAUGUCAAAUACGUGUUCUUCUUCCGUCCUCCUCUCUUCCUUUGCCACAUGUCAACUCCUGCUCGCCCAUGCCUCCCCACGUCCAUAGUUCGAAUCAUUUUUUCUCCAUAUUUGGAGUCCCACUCUCGUAAGUAUAAAAACCAACUUUCUGAAAAAUCAUCUCCGUCAAAUUCAAGCGUGCGAGUUUGAGGUUGCAAGUUCGAAUUUCCUUGGUAGUUAUUUCUCAUAUUUUCUAUAUAAACCUUACAUUUCCCCUAAUUUCAUGAAUCAAGUCACCAUUUGGUAGGGUUAAUAUUUUCUUUGACAGAUUCUUUUCUUUAAUUUUCCAUAUAAUUAGAUUUGAUUCAAUCUUCAAUUUAAUAUAAGCUUUUGUUGAAAUCCCUAAUUUUUAUAUCAACAAUUAAUUUAAUCUCUCAAUUUCCAUAAUUCUUCACAAUUUAGUUCUUUAUUUCAAUUUAAGUAUGAAAAUUAAUGCAAUAUUAAUUAGAUUUCAUUUCUCUACACAAGCUCAAGUUUUAGCUCUUGGCUUGAGUAUUUAUUACAUAAGCCAAGGUUGCAAUACAACCCUUUCUUAAACUAUCUCGCUCUUACCACGAAAAUAAUAUAUGCAAGAAAUUUUAUCCAUUGCCUUUGAUAACUCAUUUCAACAUUAUCUUGUUACUUAAACACUUGCUCCUUUACAAUAUAAACCUAUAGUGGUGUGAUACAUUGACAAGAAUUCUAUUUCAAUAGACUCAUUAAACUCCAAGGUUAAACAAGCCAUUAGGCGUAUCAAAUGAUAAGCUUGAAAUAUUAGCUAUUCGAGCACCCUUUGAGACUCAUUUCUUAGCCUUCUUCUCAAACAAGUUAUUUGCAACAUGUAUACCAGUAUUUAUAAUUUUAACAACAUCGUCCAUUUAGUGCUAUCAGUAAUAGCUUAUGAAUCUCCUUUCUUAAACUACCCUUAAAACUUUUUCAUCUAUUCACCUCGUCUUGGACCACUAAAAUGGUAUACUUGAACAAUCAAUUGUAAUUAGGAGUGUACAUGAUUGGAGAUUAGAUAAUUUUAACAACAUCAUCCAUUUGGAUCGGGUUGGAGGUAAAAUAUGGACCAAUCCAAAUUAUCUAGGUUGCCAAAAAAUUAGCCCUAUCGGUUCAAUAUGUAAGGAUCCACCUAACCCAACCCAAUCCAAAAAUUUAAGGUUGAGUCGGGUUGGAUUGGCGGGUUGGUACUGUUCUCAUCUCUCUAUAGUUUGUUAGGAUUUAGGCAGUGUAGAAGGAAACCAAAACAAUUAGCUUCAGGGUAUCAAACUAAAAGAAACUGAAAAAAGAAGAAAAAGAUAGUAGGUAGUAGGUAGUAAAACAAAAUAAAAAAACACAUGGAACAAAAGAUUCACCUCACACAUUGCCAAAAAAGAAACAAAUCCAACAAAAUCUGUAGCUAGGUAUGUGAUUUCAGGGAAAAAAGAGAUACCAUACGCAAAAUCGAUGUAUAAAUAACAUGAAAAAGUGAAAGGAGAGAAAAAGAUGGACUAACCUAUAGAAUGCAGAGCGGCAAAGAAGGAAGAAAGAAAGAAAAGAAUGGGGUUUGUGAGAUAGAUAGUGGAAAAGUGUUUAGAAGAAAGAAAAAGUGAGAUAGUUUGAGAGACUGGGGUUUUAAUUUCAGCCUGCGUAGCCGUCAAAGAAGAAGGGAAAGUGAGGAACGGGUUGCAUGGGUAAAAUUCAGAACGUGAGUCAUCGGAAUGUGACGUAUUGCGAACGCGAAGGGGAAGGGGUUGAGUGUAACCCACGAGGUCUGAAGGGGAAGGGGUUGAG
rnacentral:lncRNA from 1 species